rnacentral:rRNA from 1 species
UACGUAGGGGGCAAGCGUUGUCCGGAAUCAUUGGGCGUAAAGAGCGUGUAGGCGGCCUGAUAAGUCGGCUGUGAAAGUCAAAGGGCUCAACCCUUGAAUGCCGGCCGAUACUGUCAGGCUAGAGUCCGGAAGAGGCGAGUGGAAUUCCUGGUGUAGCGGUGAAAUGCGUAGAUAUGCGGAGGAACACCGAUGGCGAAGGCAAUCCCCUGGGCCUGCACUGACGCUCAUGCACGAAAGCGUGGGGAGCAAACGGGG